UACGUAGGGUGCGAGCGUUGUCCGGAAUUAUUGGGCGUAAAGAGCUUGUAGGCGGUUUGUCGCGUCUGCUGUGAAAAUCCGGGGCUCAACCCCGGACUUGCAGUGGGUACGGGCAGACUAGAGUGCGGUAGGGGUGACUGGAAUUCCGUGGUGUAGCGGUGGAAUGCGCAGAUAUCAGGAGGAACACCGAGUGGCGAAGGCAGAUCUCUGGGCCGUAACUGACGCU
rnacentral:rRNA from 1 species